GGCCCGGUAGUGCAAUGGCAGCAUGUCUCAUCACCACACACUUCCAAGCAAACGAUGGAAACCCAAACUUGGAAUGUCGUGGUGGGAAAGAUGUGGGUUCAAAUCCCAUCCGGGCCA